CAAAGGCCUUUUUUUUUUUUUUUAAUCAGAAGUUAACACCAAAAGAAGGGUAUGGUAAAAACUUAAUUGAUACUUGGUCCCUCAGAAUAUCGAAGAAGUGAGAAGUCAGUGGAAAUAACUCCAGAAUGGAUGGAGCUUUGCAGGCAGACUCUUCUGGGAUCAGCACUGAAGAGAUGCCAUAUCCCAUCCCAAACCAGCACAGCUGAAUCCCAAGCACUAAGUGAUGGUGACUCCUGGCUGUAAACAAGGUUCCAUUUCAAAGCAGAGUUUUGCAGAAGUUCAUCAUCAAGUGAGGGAGGAGCCUCUUUGAAAAAUCAUAGGUUAUAUUGCUUCAAGCCAAGCAGAGAAUCUCUCUGAGAAAGAGACCUAAGGCACUUGGGAGAACUUGCCCUGAAGUUCACUUCUAUCCCUGCUCUGGGAGUGGAAAAUUCUCCCUUCACCUUGUGCACAGUUUCAACGUGUAAUGAACUAAUAAGAGAAGCAGCUGCUC
rnacentral:lncRNA from 1 species